GGAGGAAAACAGAUUUUUCAUCUAUAAUUCAGAAGCUAAGUAAAUAACAAAAUGAAGCCAGUAAAGCAUCUGUUGACCUCUAGUAAUAAAUUGGUAAACGUUCCAGAAUUAACAUUUAAAAAAGGACUAUUUAAUUCACCAUUGUCACCUAAACCAAAGGAAAAACAUAGUGCAAAAUUAGUACGUGAUAAACUUGAACCGAUGGUCUUAGGAUCUCCACCAACAGGAGAAUCCGUUGUAAGGUAUGCUUUGCCCAUUCCAUCAAAUAAGACAAAGGAGUUAAUAGCAGAAGAUGAAUUGAUCAGGAAAAUUACCAAACAUCUGAAGAUGGUGGUUGCCAGUUUGGAAGAAACCUAUGGAUAUGGCACUCAAAAUGGAGAAAAAGAAAUUGUGAAGCCUGAACAUGAAGAAUUAACCUUUUCUGUUGGGGAUGAUCUGACUUCAUUCUUAAUAUGUUGUUCACAAUUUGCAACUCAGUUAGAAGCAGCAGCUAAGGAAGAACAUAAUAUUUUGGAAUCUCUUUUUAAGUGGUUUCAGCGACAGGUCAAUCAGAUGGAAGAGGGAUAG
rnacentral:lncRNA from 1 species